rnacentral:lncRNA from 1 species
CAAAAAAAUGUUGCAGUUCCCGUCUAAAAAAUUGACCUAAUAGCAGGAUCAUAAAAUUUAAAACCCCCUUGAUCGCUCUGCAUAGCCAAUAAAGUAGCUGCUAACUAUUUUAGAGUCCAAUUUCUUUUCAUAAGGCUUAUAAGGUCUCGCUUCAGCUGGACAUCCCCAAAUAUGAAAAUGCUUUAAACUGGACUUUCGACCCAUCCAAAGCUCAUAAGGCGUUUUAGCAGCCGCUUUAGUUGGCACCCGAUUCAGGAUAUAAGCUGCCGUUUUGAGUGCUUCACCCCAGAGUUUUUCGGGUAAAGUAGAAUGACUAAUCAUACUCUUUACCAUAUCCUUAAGAGUUCGGUUUCGUCUUUCUGCUACACCAUUCAUGCUAGGUGAUCCUGGCAUGGUGUAUUGAGGGACGAUCCCACAUUCCUCUAGGUAUUUAGCAAAUGGUCCUGGACGUUGUUCACCUGAUCCGUCAUAUCUACCAUAGUAUUCACCACCACGGUCAGAUCUGACGCUUUUUAUUUUUUUGUUGAGUUGUAACUCAACUUCUGCUUUAAAUGUUUUGAACACGUCCAAUGAUUGUGAUUUCUCAUGUAUAAGAAAUAGGUAGCCAUAUCUUGAAUAGUCGUCUAUGAAUGUUAUAAAGUACUGUUGACCAUUCCAAGAUGCCGUAGGGUAUGGUCCACAGAUAUCUGUAUGAAUUAAUUCUAAGACGUCUGUAGCUCUAUUGGCACCUAAUUUCUUUGUUUUGGUCUGUUUUCCUUUAAUACACUCAACACAAAUAUCAAAAUCUGAAAAGUCAAGUGAAUCCAAAAUCCCAUCGGACACAAGUCGCUCAACUCUAGAUUUAGAGAUAUAACCUAGGCGUUUGUGCCACAAUGAGGCCGAAUUAUCUUUAUUCAAUUUACGUUUUGUACCUCGUGAUUCCACAUGCAAGGUUUCAUUAUAGGACGGAACAGUUUCCAACAAAUAUAGAUUAUCAUAAACAUUAAGUAAACCGGUUCCUACAGCAUUUGAAUUAAUAGAUAAUGUAAAUCUAUUGUUUCCAAAUGAACAACAAUAACCUGAUUUGUCCAAAACAGAAACUAAAAUUAAAUUCCGUCUGAAAGACGGUACAACAAAAGUAUCUAUUAAAUCCAAAAAAUAACCAGAUUUCAAUAAUAAUCUAAAGUGCCCUAUUGCCUCUACUUCUACCGACUGACCGUCUCCGACAUAGAUGCAUCUUUCAGCAUCACUUGGUUUUCGGUAACUCAGGCAACCCUGCAUAGAAACACAAAUGUGAGUAGUAGCACCAGAAUCUAACCACCAUGUGUUUCUAGAUACUGAAGCUAAAUUAACUUCAGAACAGACCAAAGUAAGAAACAUACCUUUCUUAACACGCCAAGCAGCAUACUUGGUACAUUCCUUCUUAGUAUGUCCAAGCUUAUUACAGAAGAAACAUGUUACCUCAACUUUCUGUUUCUUUUGUUCUGGACCAUUAGAAGCAGCAACCUUAUUAUCCUUAUUCUUUCGUUUGCCCUUAUCCUUGGAAGUGCUAGCCAGAUGAGCACUUUCGGUCUUGUUUUGCUUCAAUCUCUCUUCCUCUUGCACACAGAAUGAAAUGAGCUCAUUAAGAGUCCAUUUAUCCUUUUGACAGUUAUAACUGACCUUGAAUUGAUUAAAUUGUGCAGGAAGAGAGAUGAGAACCAAAUGCACGAAUAAAUCAUCAGAUAACUCGAGUUUCAAAGCCUUAAGUUUUGAAGCAAGAUGAGACAUCUCCAUGAUGUACUCCCGAACAUUACCCUUGCCUUUAUACUUCAUUGAAAUCAAGCUUGCUAAAAGCGUGCUCAUUUCAGCCUUAUCGUUUUUGGCAAAACGUUUCUGAAUUUCCACAAGGAAGUCACUGGCAUUAGUAACCUCAUCGGUUACCGCACCCCUAAAAGCUUCUGGAAUGCUGCGCUUCAUGAUCAUAAGACUUAGCCUAUUUGAACGUUCUGACUUACCCCAAUAAACCUCAUCCUCUUGAGUACUUUCCUCAUUGAGUUCAUCGGGUUUGGGCAUUCUCAAGGCUAAGUCUAUAUCCAUGCAACCUAAGAGAAUCAUCAUAUUCUCUUUCCAGUCCUUAAAAUUAGUCCCAUUUAACAUAGGGACAUUAUUGAUGUUGGCAGAUAUAGAAGUAGUUGAUAUAAAAGCCGAAUCGAGAACAAAAUAAAAUGAAUCAAAUAAACCAUCAUGCUCACAUAAAAUAAGCAAUUAAACACAUAAUCUUUAAAUUUAAAAGCAAAUUAUGACAUUUCAAGAUACCUAGCACAACAUUAAUAUCAAGUCUUUGGACAGUAAUAUUAACUGUAAGUGGUACUCUUGUUGUAGUGAUCAAACAUUGAUGAUAAGUUAUGUCAAAUAAUAAAUCUAUCUUUGGAUUGAUUUAUUAUUCACAUUAAGUUACCUUUAUAAUCAUCACAUAUUUAUCACCACAGGUAUGUAUGCAAUUUGACCAAAUAUUAACUUUCCUUUGGGCCAGUCAAUACCCGCAUGAAUCACAUACACACAAAUAUCUAACACCCCGAACAGACUAAUCUACACGAAAGAUGUCACUUUGGUGAUUUUCCGCUUUAAUUAGCCUAUUUAAAAUGCUAGAUCAAUAACUUAAAUAUUAAUAUCAUAAAAUGCUAUUAAAUAAUAAUAAUAAUAAUAAUAAUAAUAAUAGUAAUAAAAAAAAUUAUCAACUCAAUAUUUCAUAAAUCUUAAUCCAUUGACAUAUAUAUUAAAAUAAUAACUCAAAGAAUUAAUCAAGGAGUAGGCUCUGAUACCACUUGUUAUAAUCAAUCAAGAUGAAUACCCUAAUUUCAUAUAUACUGGAAUAUUUAACAAGGUGAAUACCCUAAUUUCAUAUAUACUGGAAUCUCCUGAUUAAAAACAAUGAGUAUAAAAAUAAUAGCGGAAGCAUACCUGAAUCCAUUGAAGGAGAAACCUUAUAGGAAGAAAACCCUUUGAGAUGAUCUUCCAAUUCUAGCCACUAGAUUCUGUGUCAAUUUCUCUCUGAGAGGAUUUUUAGAAAUUGGAAUGCGUAGUCAUAGAAUGGGGACCAUAACCCUAUUUAUAAACCGCUAAGGCAGUUUUAAUUUUAUCACAAUUAUAUUUCUGCCCCUCAUAGAAAUAAUAAUUGUCUAAUGAUAUCUACACAAUAAUCUCAUGACAAUUAUACCCUUAAGCCAAUUAAUCAAUUAUUAAUUAGAUCACCAUAUUUAAGCUUAAUUAAAUGAUAGCACACACAUUUUAAUUAUUUACAUGUGUGGCCCAAAUUAUAGAUUAAUUACAAAAAUUAAUCUAACAAUCCGCUACCUCCCCAACGACAACAAAGAUUCUACACUCCGGCAAUUACGGAUUUAAAGUUAAGUAAAUUAUUCUUCAACCGAGACUUUUUUUAAAGGCUUUUGAAAAGGUCACGAGUUUGUUUCAAAUUUUAACGGGUUUUUUUUUUGUUGAGGAAUCUCUGAUUUCUCUGAAAAAUUGAUUGUUUUUGUGAUAGAUUUCUUUUGUAGGAAUUUGUUGAUUAGUUUUUUUAUUUAUUUAUUCAAGUUGACCGAGUUAAUUCGGAAUAUCAGUCGAGCCAUCCGAGUCCAACCGAUUCAAGGCAGAGUCUAGGUAUAAAUUGUAUCUGGUAUCGGACUUGUCAUGACCGGUGUCGAGGCAGAUACGACUCAAUCGAGUCAUACUGGACUUGGUUGAUUUUUUGAACCUGGGAGUGUAACCGAGCCGCCAUUCUCACCCCUACGUCCAACAUCUCCACAUAAACCCAUUUCUCUGUUACUCAAAAACAAAAUCCUAUGAAGUGGGGGAUACAGAAGGAAGAGUGGGUUGGUUUUUAUGGCCACCACUCUGCUCGACUCCCUCUCUCUCCUAACAGAUUCCACUCACAAUAUUAGUCGUGUCUUCAUUUCCAUAGGAGUGGGCUACAUUCACUGGCAUUUUAUGUUUUCACAAAAUUGGAUCGCUUUGCCAUUUACAUCAUUUUUUUUCCACGCGUGCUUCCUUCAUUUACCAUAAAAUUGACUUGUUUUAAUUAUGAGAUAGGGAUUUAAGUUGAUAUCAAAUAUCAGAUUAGUAAAUCUGGAUCGAACGGCUAGAAAAAGAAGGAAUGGUAAGUCAGGAAUGAAGGUGCACUGGCGUCCAUUCACAUUAAAGUAAAGUGAUAUUUCUAGUCUUCUUCGUGCUUGCGCUGAUUGGGGGACCGCGUCAAGACUCAAGUUUCGGUGGUGCGAAUUCAUUAUUCGACGCGUCACACCGACGCCGCUCUACUUUAGACUGGGUGUAUUUCUCAUUUAUACCCUUGAGACAACAGAAAAAAUGCCUCUUAGUUGGUCAAAUAUAUAUUCUUUAAUAUAUUUAUGAAAAUUUCUAAAAUAAUCUAAAAAAAGAGUGGAAAAAUAAAAAAUUAGUGGUUUGGAAUUUGUGGGUGAGGCGAACCAUACAUUAUUAUAAUAAGGUCAAAUAAAACAAAGGUCCAAGGAUAAGCUUUGGGGCUAAUGGCCCAUUUGCAUUUUAUGCGUGAAAGUGUGGCAUUGUAAAUGUGGAAUAUAAAUCGCAUCAUGUUAAUUAAGCGUUUGCUUGUAACUUGUAAGCAACGGGGAGGCUCUGGCGGUUGCUUCGCCCGGUUCUACUUGGAAUCAGGGUGGUGUAUGACUUGUUUCUUUAACGCUUUUUCAAAAUUUGGGCAUUCUCCGAAAAUUUCUAAGAUAUUAUUAGCUUCUACGCUUGAUUUCUAUUGUUAUAUUUUAAGUAUUUUGAUUUUUAUCUUAGAUGGAUGAAAAAUAGUUAAUUUCCUAAUUAAAUUAAUGAAUAGGGGAUGAUUAGUAGGUUUCUAAUUCUAAUUUUUCUAAAUAAAAAAUAAAUAAAAAACUUAUAUCGGUUUGGUUAGAUUUUAAUGAUCAAAACUUGGUGAAAAUUUUCAAAUAAAAGACAUGUAAAUUUGAUAAUUUCAUUUUUUUUAAUUAGCAAGUCACCAAUUUUGUUUGAAAAAAUUAAUAUAAGGUUGGAAACUUCAUCCUAGAGGGUGGAAAUAAAAUAUGAAUUUAAACUAAUUCUUGUUUUUUGAAAUGAAAAGGAUGGAUCGAAAUAAAAUCAAUUGACAAAAAUAAAAAUAGACCCAAAAAAGGGGGAAAAAUUUCCUUGUCCUAAGCCACCAAAUCUCCGAAACUUCAAUUUCUGAUUAUAAAUCCGUGAAAUUAAAAAAGAAAAGAUUGAUCGGAAAUAAAAAGAAAAAUAGAAGACAACAACGCCAAGCGCAAUUCAACGCAUCGAUCGUAGAAGAACACGAGAAAAGAAAAAGAAUGAGAUCAAUGGCUUUCAAUAUAAAUUUAAUGAAUUACAAAUCAGAACUUGCAAACAAUAAUUUCUUUGAUCAUGAAUUUAUGUAUUGUAUGAAUCGAUGUUGCUUUACACAACGAGAUAAAAAAUGAAAUGGUUAGUAUCAAAAGCCUUGACGCCGCGCUUGGCCGCCGGAGCCUGCUCAUGCACGGGGGCGUUGCUACCGCUUUCCCCUUUGUUCGAGGGAGGAUGGUAGUACAUCCGAGCCGUCUGUGGGCAGUGGGAGUGAAACCGAGCCACGAUUCUCACCCCUGCAUCCAGGAUCUCCACAUAUUUCCCCAUCUUUUUCUCCUCUCUAUCCCUUAAUUAACUGCCUCUCUCUAUUACUCAAAAACAAAAUUACAGAGAGAAAUGCCAGGAGAAAGGAGAAAAACAAAGAGAGAAGAACCCAAGAGAGGGAGUUGAGCUGUUAGAAGAUGUCCCAGAUGAGCGAGCCCAUAAAGCGGAAGAGAGAAUUGGUUGAUGUUUUUUGGAAGAAGAGUAGGUUGCUUUUAUAGCCGCCCCUCUCUUCACCUUCCUCUCUUUUUCGCCUUUGUUGACCUACCUCAAUAUUAGUUGUAUGCCCCCUACUUUUUUGGUUUUUUCUAUUUGUAACCUCGCAAUAUUAGAUUUCCUUCUAUCUGUACCCCUGUUUCUUUUUUUCUUUCCGAGUAUAAUCAGGGACCACACCUCAGAAUAUUUAUGUUUUAAUUUAAGAUAUAUUGCAAAAUUGAAUUUCAUGUUUUUUAACAUAAGAAGAAUAACCCUUUUUUUUUAAUAAAAAUAUUAUUUAUCAAAAAAUUUAGACUCAUUUAAUAUCAAACCUCUUUUUUAAUUAUAUAUAUAUAUAUAUAUAUAUAUAUAUAUAUAUAUAUAUAUAUAUAAAAAGUUAUUUUUACCAUUUCAAAUUAUGAAGAUUACUUUUUUUUCAAAUGAAAAAUGUUUUAGUCCUAAGGAAUUAAAUUUUCCGAAGAGUGGGCUCAAAAAUUAUUUUAAUUAAAGCAUUUUUAAUGUAUCAUACUUUUAUUAAUAAUAUUUUUUAAUAAAAAUCACCUAAUAUUUAAAUAUAUACUAAGAAUUUUUUUAAAAAAAUAAUUUUUAAAUAUUUAUAAAAUAUAUAAUAUUUAUAAGAAAGCAUUUAGUAAAAUUUGAUAGCUCUUCUAAUCCUUUUAAAUUCACUCUCUAACCCAUUCUAAAUUGCCAUAAAAUUGGAUUGAUUCAAUUAUAUUAUGCAAAUCACUUAAAGUUACAAUCCUUCCAUUUGUAUAUCAUUUUUUCCCCAUGUGUUUUUCCUUUAAUGUAACGUGUUGUAACUUACGAAUGAAAUACAUUUAAAUACAACUAGAUCAAGUCCAAUAACUACAGGGGCAUAGUUGAAUUUUUUUUGCAUUAUCUAGGAAAAUAAGUAAAAAGAACUAAACAUGUGCUCCAAUUUUAUAUGGUCCAAGUCCAACAUGUGCUCCAAUUUUAUAUGGACCAAGUAAAUGAUAGCAUAUCACGAUCCUUCACCAGGAAUAAUGCUUACACAGAAUCUGCACCGCUGGUUAAAUCUCAGACCACUUAAUCUGGAUCGGACGGGUUGAAAAGGAAGGACUCAGGACAGGACUGAAGGCACAUUGGUCUGGACUCUGGAUACACAUUAAAGUAGAUUACUAUUUCUAGUCUCCUUUGUGCGUUUACUAAUAAUGGACCGCGUCAAAGACUCGAGUUUCGGUGGUGGGAAUUCAAUAUUCAACGCAUCACCGACGGCGCUGUGCUCUAGAGUGGGUACAUUUCUCGUUUAUGCCCCUGAGUUGUUUGGGAAACUACGGAAAUGCCUCUGAGUUGGUAAAAAUUAAAAAAUCUAACAAUUGGGGAGCUGGGGAAAUGUCCUUUGCCUUUCACUUCUGUUUUAUCAUUUUUUAUGGCGGGAAACAGAAGGGUCGGAAGACUCGGAACUCAUGUUUUGUGCGGGCCUAAUUGAUACGAGUCAUAUGACCAUGUUUUACUUUUUCAACAGGCGCUGCCCUAGCUUGUGAAUGCCUUUAUCUAGAGAACUUGGGAGUACUACAAGUCAAGAUAUGACCACUGCGGAAGACUUCAAAGCCGCCAAAAGCAAAAAUAUUUUCAAAUUAUAUCUUAUAUUUGGGUUCUUCCUGGUUAUAAAUACCUAAUUACUUGUAGAAUUGAAAUUAUAAAUAUUUUUUAUAUGUAUAGUCAAGAAACUAAAAAUAUUAGAAAAUUCUUUUUUUUUUCUAGGAAAAAUGUAAAAUCCUUCUAUUAGUUGAAAAAUGAAUUCCAUACAUUCCUUUUAUCAAUACAAAUGUUAACAUGUUUUGAGUAUGACGAGAUAUUAGAACUUUUCAAAAUAUUUUAGCAAAAAGUUCUAGAACAACUAUUUUUGUAAUUCAUUUUAAAAAUAUGUAGUAAUAGAUAGAAAAGCCUUAUUUUGACUGUGAUGAGGGCAUAUGACUCUUACUGUUUGGUGACAAGAAUACAAAUGCGAUGAAAUAGAUAUUUCGCAAAUAAAGGAGCGGUCCGUCUGGAUCAUGGCUUCUAAGAGUUUGUUAGAACAAUUUAUCAUCACUAAUAAAACCAACUGUAUAUUAAUGUGUCAAUGUCAUAAUAAUCGUCAUACUAGAAAGUCAUAAAAGCAAGAACUAUAGAUAUAGAAAACAACGUCUAAGCCCUCCCUCGUUUUAUUGUUGGUAAUAGAAGUCGGUGAGGCCAACCUUACAUUAUUAUAAUUAGGUCAAAUAAAACAAAUGAUAGACUUUGUGCCACUGGCCUUCAUGCAAUUUAUCUGUGGAACAUAUGGCAGUAUAAAAAUGGGAUGUAAAGCGCAAUAAGUUAGCAGUACCUUGGAAGCAAUUGGGAGGCUCUGGCGGUUGCUUCACCUUUUAUUUUUUUAUUAUUUUGUAUAAAUUUUUGUGGUCACGUUCAGUGCAGCAAAAGAUCAUAUCAAGAGACAAGAGACAGAUUGUUUAGCUGGCCAUUGAUGGCGACAAACGGCCAGCCAAGUUGAUUUUAAUGAUCAAGACAAGAAGACUUGCUUGCCUAAAAGUGUUCGUGGGAAGCAUGAAAGCAAGAUAACAACAAUCCAAGACACAAGGAAGAAAAAUGAUUUGAAGUUUUUAGUAAAAAUAAAAAGGGGCAAAAUAAGAACGAAAGGGAUUGGGUGGGUUGCUGUGAUAUGAAGCAAAAAAGGCGUGAGAUAUUUGAAAGGACAGGUGUACCAAUAUAGAUAUGUAUAAAAAUUGACUUGGUUCAACUAACCUAAAUUAUUAUCUGAUUAGGUCGAAUUGAAUAGAAAACUUGAUUUUCUUAGAUCCUAUACUGCUAAAAGGAAUAAAUAAACCAAAAUUCAAAAGGUUUUUAUCCUUUUCAUACAAUUUUUUUAAUCUAAGAGGAUAUGCAGUUUGAACAGUGAGUUGCAACUAAAAGUUCUGUGUGGAGACAAUGAACACAAAAUAAUAUUGGAUCUAAACUCACAGCCACUGCUUCUAACCAUACGAGAGAAGAGAGGAGUACCGCGAAGUUCUUACCCAGGGGAGGUCCAAAAUCUCCAACAUCGAUUGCUUCUGCUGUAUGCAGCAGCAAAAAGCGAGAUAAUUUAGAGCAAUCCAUAUUUUAUCCUAUUAUAUACGAUGAAAGGAGAGGGAAUGGAACUUCAAAUUGAGUACAAGGAGAACUUGAAAUCUAGCCCCAAGUACUAGAAUUUCAAAGAGACAUAGAAGAGAUUCAUGGACAUUUAGAGUCCAUUGGGCAUUAUUCUUAUUAAGAUAUUUUUCAUUUGUAGCACUUUUUUUUUAGUAAUCCUUUCAUUAGAUAUUCUUUUUGAAGAAGAAUCAUUCAAUAUUUAUGUAUAAAAACAAUACAAAAAAAAAAAAAAAAGUUUUGAUAAUAUGGUAUUUAAUGAUUCUUAAAAGAGUCAUCUAACAAAUAAUUGUCCAUAAAUUAUUUAUAGUGUUUCCCCAAAUUUUUAAAACUUUGUUGGACACCUAAUUUAUAGGAAAAUAACCUUUCUAAAUAUUAGAAAGGUUUAUAACCUUCUCAAUGUCACUCCAAAAUAACUCUAUUUUUAAAGGAUUCUGCUAAGAGGUUGUGCUUACUAGAAGAAAUCUAAGCUAUUCUAACCCAUUAGGACUUAUUGACCAGGUAUAUCACUGUGAUUAAUCAUGUUAGAAAGGGUACCCUCAACCCUGAUGUGCUUGGUUUAGUUGCACACAUUCAAUUAAGCAUUCCAACAGCUUAAAUAUUUGCAGCAGGUUCCUUAGUUUUCCUCUUUCUCUUCCAACCAAGCAUACAGCCAUUAACUCUAUAUUCUUCAACUAGAAAUCUAAUGUGAAUGCAUGACCAAAAGAGACUUCUAACUUCAAGGGUCAUUGACAUGGAUUUUCUGUUUUUCCUUUUUCAUUCUGAUUAUCAAUACUUCAAUAUGAUGAUAGAAAAGAAAUUCUCACUGUAGAAUUCUGAGAAAAAUAGCUACCAGUAAAAUGCUGUGUGACAGAAGUAAACUUCUAUUAAACUUUGACAUGAACUGUGUCAAUGUAUAAGAAUUGUACAUGUCCGAGUAAAAUGUUGCUAUAGAAAACCUCCCUAUAUAUCAGGAAAUUAAUUCUGGGAAACAUGCAGAACAAAAUGGUGGUAAACUACGAAGGUAUAUGCUCAGUUACAGUAUUGUGUCAAUUCUGUGUUACCUUUCCGUCAAAACAAAAUGGUUACAGUAUUGUGUCCCUAGCAUAGCGACCAUCCAAACUCUAUAUAUGACCCGGUCCAGCCGGGUCUAGCUCCUUAAAUCUAUUAGGCUAUCUGCAGAAAAUACCGCACGGUUAGGAUCAUAUACAAAUAAAGAUUCCAAAUUAUAUGACCAUUUCAAUGUUUUAUAUCACUGCAUGUCCAUUUCAUUUCUAUUACGCUAUUAGGCACAAAAUUUCAGUGCGUGCCUAAGUAUAGCAGUCUCCCAUUGGUUUUUACCUUUAAUUUUUGUUGUCAUCCCCAGACCCACUAGUUUUAAACCUGCUAUACUUCUAAAUCAGGUCUGUAGUCUAUACAACCCUCACUGUGGUUGGGUCAUGCCACUCCCACAUUACUAUACUGUCUUGGAAUGAUCACCAUGUCAUGCCUCCUCGGUUAGUUUUUCAGUUCAUAAUUAAACAUGAACUGAAUAAGCAUGGUGGAGAAUUCAAGAGGAAGCAUAACAUAAUGAGAGAUGUGGAGUUCAGAACUAGGUCCAAUGUUAUUUGACCCAAGUUUUCGGUGCAUAGUGCAAGGGUUUGAUGGUAUGUUCAAUUCAACCUGUAAAGCCCAUUACCCUGUAAAUAUAGGGGUCCUGCCUGCCUCCUUCCCCAGUUCUUUUGACUUCUUCCAGCUUUAACAACCUGCACAAAGACUACGUCAUUGUCAUUUUGUCACAUAAUGAUAAUCAGCGUAGGGAAUUAAUGAAAUUCACCACUUAAUUAAUUUGAUCAAGGUCAUUUUGGUAGUAAUUUGGCCCAACUUGGUAUGUCCAGUUCAUUCUGAUUGACCACGUUAAAAGUGAUGUGAAACCUGCAUUUCAUGAGACAUAUAGAGCCAGCAUGUCAAAUAAUUUGGACCGUCAGAUCUGCAUUGGGGUUUCCACUAUCGCAAGAUUUGGUACAGUCAAUCGUCCAAAUCAUCCAACCGUGCUGAUCUCUUGUGCUCUCAAAAUCCAAUUCUAAAAUGAGAACUGGUGAGAUGUCCCUGUCAGAUGUUGACGUGUCAUGAUGUUAUUGGCUUAGAGAGGGAAAAUACAUUCUGAGAGCUUUGCUGGUGUCAGGACUGUCACCGAGCACUCGACGGAUCCUGACUUCAGUAGAACACCCUCCAGAUAACAACCUCAAAAUCGCCUCGCCUCGGCGCCGCAUGUGAACCGAGCCCAGCUGCUUCCCCCUCACAUCUCCACUGCUCAGCCCAGCCUUUCCAAUUCCAACUCCACCGCUGGGGUAUCGGCUUCGAGCGCUAGAACCACUUGACAAGCACGAAACCUCUGUGUUCGCCGACACAGAUCCAGAAGCCAUCUUGGCGGGAUUUCCAGACGUGAUUUUCCGGUGAUGGCAGCUUCGGUAGUUUUUGGAGCGACUCUUUCGCACAACCUGAGAAAAUUCAUAUAUUCCAAAAAGUAUCAAUAAAAUUAUGUGAACGAUUCCACAUCAUGACAAUAUUAUAUUGCUGUGUAAGAGUUAAAAUCAUUGCAUUUUUUGCUUGCCAAAGGAAGAAAAAUACUUGGAACAUGCCAACAAAGCAAAAGCUGAGUUCAAAUGCUCGAGUAUGUUAUCAGAUCUAUUGCUAAGAAUCAUAAAUAUAUAGCCAUAUAGUAGAUUAGGCUAUAGAAAAUCAAUCGAGGGACAGAGUGAUUCAAUCGCCUUGAACUUUAUCUAAUUUUAAAAAAAUUUACCACACAACGAACUCAGAUUUAGAAUUAUUAAAUUUAGGUAAGAAGAAAAUGAAUCAAUACGCCAAUUGACUUGAGAUUGAGCAGAAAACAAGUACAAAUAAACCUAAUUGGAUAGAAAUCAGAGCGCGUUGAGCUUCGUUCACCCAAUUCAAAAUGCAAAAGCUCCAAAUGGACCAAGUGAGGUGCAAACCAUUAAAAAAUUCAAUCAAACGAAAACCAAGCAUACUCGAUCAAGAAUUGAGGAACGAAUCAAAACUCAAGAAAAUGACUUCAGGAGAAGAGAAAUCACUACGCAAAUUUAAGGAAAAUCGAUCAAAAAAGGAAGCCAAAUUCAAAAACGUCAGAGCUUAAGAUCAGAAAGCAAAUUCAACUGAGUGAAAAUAAAAUGUAGGUAAAAAAAUGCACAGAGGCUCAAUCACUUUGAGCUUCAAUUUUCAUGGAAACAUACUCAAAACUCAGUAGACACGGAGAAACAGAGAAAACAGAUCACCUUAAGCUUCAUCUCAUUGCACCAAGCCACAACCGCAACGAUUCUGAGCCGCCGAGCAUGGAUCUCUUCAGAGGAACCAUCGCUACUCAGGGACGAAGAACAAGCCUUCGAAUCACUCAACACCACGCUCUCCAUCCGCUUCCCACUAUCAUCACUGUUGCUGUUGCUUCCUCCAUCUUUGUUCGGUUCGUCCUCAAAAUCAAGCCUGCAAAGCAAUUACAAAAACACAAAUCAUCAGAGAAUAAUAACCAGAAUCGAAAUAUGAAUUUAAAUCCAAAACUCGCUUAAAAUCAAAAUCACUUUGGGGAGAGAGAGGGCGAUGUAGUGGUGGUGGAUGAAGAGAGCAGGAGAAGAGCUGAAGCAGCAGUGCGUUCUAGUGGACAUGGAAACUCUUCCAUUGAUUUUGUUAUCAAAAAGGCGGGUUGAUUCAAAACAUUUGAAAAUUUUUCCUUCUUUUUUUGUUUGUUUUCUCUCUCUAUAACCGUUUUAUUGUUUCCUGAAACGAGACACCGCUCUCCCCUACAUGCACAAGCUGCUGCUUCACUGUGGCGGGGCUCACAUGAUAAACCGGUGAGUGUCUCAUGCGGCCCAGUAAUAAUCAGAUAUUUUAAUUGUCUCAAAAAAAUAGUUAGCUUUUAAAAUAUUUUUGUAACGACAUUCUAUAUGUAUCCAUUAUAAAAAGGCUAAAGUAGUAAUUUCUAUAUAAAAUAUAAUAUUUUUAUAUAUAAGUAGUAAUUUUUCUGUUUUUUUUUUAUAUAAAAAUAAUAGUACUUUUGAAAUUUUUAUAUAAGUUAAAUAUAUACUCUUCUAUUUUUAUAUUGAUAUUUUUUUAAAUGCUUUAGCUGAAAUUUAUUAAAUAUUAAAUUUGAUGGAAGGGGCUUGUUAAGGUGUCAAAUCGGAAUGUGCCACGUAUUCAUUUUAGAUUUCAAUACCCAAAUUUGUCUUAUACCCUAAUCUUAAUCUUAAUUUUAGAUUUCAUUUCUUGAUAGGUAUCAAUUUAGUACAAUAUAAUAAUAAUUAUUAUUUUCUUUGAUUUUCUACUAUACUUUCUUUUCUAGUUUUAUUUCUACCUAUUCAAACUCAAAUAGGAUAAACCUCGAAUAUAAAUUAUAAUUUAAGUGUUGGUUUGCAAAAUAUUUUUGAAAGUAAUUUUUUAUUGAAGACUUAAAAAACAGUUUUUAACUUAGAAAUUUUUUUAGACAAACUUUAAAUAUAUUUUUUAAUAAUUUAUUUUAAAAUAAGUUUUUUGUGUUUUGAAUAAUAAUUAAAAUAAAUAAAUAAUAUUUUGAUAAUUCUAUAAUAUCUUAAGAGAAUAAGUCAAUAAAAUUAGUAUUUUUUUCAUUUAAAUUCCAAAAAAUAGAAUUUUAUCUUUAAAACCACUGGAAAACUAUUUCCCAAAAAUGGUUGUCGAACAAAUCAAUCUAUUAUCAUGUACCAAAUUGUAUGAAGUAGACUAAUUAUGUACCAAUGAAUCUAUAAUCAUUUGAUUAAAACAUUAUAAUUGAAUGAAUUACAAUUGUAAUCUAAAUCAAUGAGUGAAAUUGACUAUCAAGUUAUGAGGGUGUGCACAAAGGAGAACCGCGUCACUGGGAGUCUGGGCCUGGGAUCCAAGCAGCAAGCUCCGUUAUGUUUCAUAUUUCGGAGCGUCUUUUUAAGGUUGUGGGUCCCACUGCCACGUAAGAAGAGCAGCUUUCAGCCAGAAGUUCAUUGAAAGAGAAGCUUGACCUGCCAUGGUCAAUACUGGAAGUGAAUAAAUCCCAACAAAUGUAUAUAAUAAAGGAAAAAUGCAGAUCGGAAAAAGGAGAAAUCAUAGAGAAGAAUAUAGGUAUAUCUGUAUAUGAAGAUGCCCCACCACACCACACUACCACCAAACUCAGCUGGUUGUUGCUGUUAAAUUCAAGCUUAAGGCACCCCCACCACCUGUCGGCAGCUACUCUUUUUAGGGAGAGUGUGUGUGGGUCUUCUAUUUGGAGGCUGAGAAAACGAGGGAGAUUGAAAGGAUUGAAGUAAAGCUAAGAGUAAGACAGAGGGAAGAGAAGUGUGAGGCUGGUUUUGAGUUUGUGGGAUUCAAUGUUGGUCCAAGAUCGUUCAACUCCGAAAUCACCAAAAACCCAUAUCAGAGCGCUUCAUUCUCUACACCCAGAUCGCUUCACUGAGCCCAAAAACCUCGAUUUCUCUACAUGGUUCUCCGAAAACCUCUACAAGAUCGUCACCAUUUCGCUCCUAAUCGCCACAGUCGCAGCUCUCUUCUUCCUCCGCAACGUCGCCGACACCGCUGCUCUCGUUUCCUACGAAACCCAAGCGAAGAGCCUUGAGAAGAUCGAAUUCCCUCAAAUUAAUUGGAAUUCAGUUGCACUCGUUUCAGAUAAGUCCCCUUACGCGAAUUUUCGAUCCGAGAGAUGGAUUCUUGUUUCGGUGUCGAAUUAUCCGACCGAUUCGCUUCGGAAACUCGUGAAGAUUAAGGGCUGGCAGGUCCUCGCAAUUGGCAAUUCGAAGACGCCUUCAGAUUGGAGCCUCAAAGGUGCGAUCUUUUUGUCUUUAGAACAGCAGGCGAAUUUAGGGUUUCGGGUAGUGGAUCACCUCCCUUAUGAUUCCUUUGUUAGGAAAAAUGUUGGGUAUCUUUUCGCGAUCCAACAUGGCGCAAAGAAGAUCUUUGAUGCUGAUGAUCGUGGGGACGUGAUUGAUAACGAUCUCGGAAAGCAUUUCGAUGUAGAAUUGAUUGGUGAGGGUGCUAGGCAAGAUAUUAUACUGCAAUAUAGUCACGAAAACCCUAAUCGGACCAUUGUGAAUCCCUAUAUUCAUUUCGGUCAGCGGUCGGUUUGGCCGAGGGGAUUGCCAUUGGAAAAUGUAGGCGAGAUUGGGCAUGAAGAAUUUUACACUGAGGUGUUUGGUGGCAAGCAAUUUAUACAGCAGGGAAUUUCAAAUGGCCUCCCUGAUGUUGAUUCAGUGUUCUAUUUCACCCGAAAACCAGGUUUGGAGGCUUUUGAUAUUAGGUUUGAUGAGCACGCUCCCAAAGUGGCCUUACCUCAAGGUACAAUGGUGCCCGUUAAUUCUUUCAAUACGCUUUAUCAUUCUUCAGCAUUUUGGGCUUUGAUGCUUCCUGUUUCUGUUAGUACAAUGGCUUCUGAUGUGUUAAGGGGUUACUGGGGACAGAGGCUUUUGUGGGAAAUUGGUGGGUAUGUUGUGGUUUAUCCCCCUACAGUUCAUCGAUAUGAUAGAAUUGAAUCAUACCCAUUUUCCGAAGAGAAAGAUCUUCAUGUGAAUGUAGGUCGUUUACUCAAGUUCUUGGUUUCAUGGAGGUCAAGUAAACAUAGAUUGUUCGAGAAGAUAUUGGAGUUAAGUUAUGUUAUGGCUGAGGAGGGAUUUUGGACUGAGAAGGAUGUGAAGUUUACGGCUGCUUGGCUUCAGGACUUGCUUGCCGUUGGGUACCAGCAACCAAGGCUAAUGUCACUAGAAUUGGAUCGACCAAGGGCAAGCAUUGGUCAUGGCGACCGGAAGGAGUUUAUUCCUCAAAAACUACCAUCAGUCCAUCUCGGAGUUGAGGAAACAGGGGUGGUGAAUAACGAGAUUGGGAGUUUGAUUCGGUGGAGGAAGAAUUUUGGUAAUGUAGUGCUUAUCAUGUUCUGCAGUGGGCCUGUGGAACGUACUGCACUGGAGUGGCGAUUGCUUUAUGGCAGGAUAUUCAGAACUGUAGUUAUUUUGGCAGAGCAGAAGAAUGCAGAUCUUGCUGUUGAAGAAGGGCGCUUGGACUUUGUAUACAAGUAAGUUGUUACUAUCACAUAUCUUUACCUUCCAACUAAAUUUUCACUGUCAGUGGCACGGCAUCUAGUUUAGAUUCUGAAUUUGUUUUACUUUAUUCUUUUAGAUAAUUUUUUUUUUUUAAUCAGAAACAAGAAAUGUGUAUAUUUGUUUCAUUCUUUUAGAUAAUUGAGGAGAAGGGAUUAGCAGUUGGAGGAUAGUCUGGCAUUAUAUUCUGUAUGGAUUGUUACAUUUCAAGAUAUAGGUAUACUUUAAUCUCGGAUAAUCUGUCAAUCACAAUAUUAGGAAAAAAUAUUGUUGGGCAUGGCUAAACCAUGCACAUAGCAAAAGUCAUGGGAAAAUUUGGACAUUGGCUGCCAAAAUGAUUUUUGACGAGUAAAUAUAAAUAUGACAAUGGUCUAGUCUGGGUUUUGCACUAAUAGUCCUUUUGUCACUUUAUAAUUGCUUGAGCCUCCUUUAUUAAGUUAUCUAUAUUGAAGAUUUUUUUACUUUUGGUUUAACUUCUUUCAUUCCAGAAGUGAUAUAAAUUAUAAUUUACUGAAGCAAAAAAGAAGAAUGAAGACAUGCCUAUGUUAUGUGAUACUAUAAUUCUAUGACAUUAAUAUAUAAAAAAAUUAUAGCUGCAAAAGUUGAGAUGUUUGAACACACUGCCAUGGAGUAAACUUGAGAGCUUACUAGUUCAAGCAUAUUUUCUUCAAUCAAGCACAUUCCUUGUCUAAAGAAUUAAAUUUAACCUUUAUGAAUAUGACAACUCUAGCUGGUACAUGCCUAUGAACCCCCCAAAAAAAAUACUCUUUCGAUGUUACAUAUCAGUUAUGAAAUUAUGAAUUUGAGUAGAUAUUGUGAUUGUUGCUGGGUUGCAGGGGGGCAGGAAAGUACAUGCUAGAUUAUAAGCAGUAGUUGUCAUCAUUACUUGGUAAUGGCUAUAAGUGAUAAGUUCAAAAUUCCUCUUUAAAUGUUCUCAAAGUUGAAGGUGGGAUGGGUUACCACAGUUUGUUCUCUUGGAGGUAGUUUUUCCAAACUGGUGUUAUGUUAGGUGACAGAAUAUGGCUAGGUUUGUCUUUAUUAGCCAUUACACAGGAGUUGAAAUAUGGCUUUUAUAUAGUCAUACAAUAGUUCAGCAUAAUGCCCACUAUUACUACCAAUACCCUAGCUGAGUUGUCUACUUGUCUUGAUAGCCAUAUACUGCACCAUCUGAGGUUGGUUUAGGGAUCUCAUCCAGGCAAAAGAGGUGGCUUUCAUCAAGUAAGAGGAGACCCCUUUGUUCCAAAUCACUGCUUCCAUGGACUUGGGCUGUAAGAACUGAACUGUAUUGACUUGGUUAUGGUUCACAUACUCAAUAGAAGUAGGCAAAAGUUCAAAAUUAAGUGGUUGGACAACGUCACUGGUGGGUUGGUUUCAGAAUUGACUUCUAGUUGAAAGCCUCUUGCUAACCGUGUCAUUAUUCCUGCGCUUGUGAAAAGGAGGGUAUUUAUGAAGCAAGAUGGCUUUAUAUAUUAUUGAGGUUGUGCUGAUGCUCAUUUGCAGCGCUAUUAAACUACUUUUGUAAAAUUAGAAGGAUGAGAAGUGGACUUCCCUGGGAAGCUUCCCUCUAAAACUAGAAAAAGUGGGCACUUUCUGCUUUUGCUGUAGAGAAGGUAGUGUAGGUUUUCUAGAAAAAAAAAAUUGGAUCUAGUCUUUCCUAGUAAUAAAUAGUCCUUAGGUGUUGCUUUCUCUAUAUUUUUCCACUUCAAAUUUCUUCCAUCUAAAUUCUGGUUAGGGAUAAUGUCAAUUUUAAGUUGUUGCUUGCUUUUAAAUUUAAGUUUCUUGCAAGCUUUGGUUGUUAUGUUGUCAAUUUCUUUUGGCUUUAGGCAUGAGGUUGUUGUUGAUAGUGAUGGAAAACCAAUUGGUUGAUGUGGCAUUGGAAAAGUUCUUUCUGUAUUGUUGUAGCUACCCCAUAUCAUUCAUCUGAAAUUUUGCUAAGGUAGCCCCUUUUCACAUUUUCCCUUUUCUUCUUUCUGAUAAUAUUGUCUAAUUUUGCUUUUCAGGCAACUGCUCAAUAUAUUUUCUCGCUUUACAAGCGCAGAAGGUUUUUUAUUCCUUCAUGACAAUACCAUUCUUAAUUACUGGAAUUUGCUGCAAGCAGACAAGAGCAAUCUGUGGAUUACAGACAAGGUAAUAUGAGUUUCAAAUACUGUAUGUAUGUUGGCCAUGCAUGGGGACUUGUGCUAUUUUAUUGCCAUUUGCCAAUAACCAACAUAAUCACUUAACUCUUUUAACUCUCAAAUUCAAUGGCGUUCAGGUAUCCAAGUCUUGGUCAACUGUUUCGACCAGUGGCAACUCAGAUUGGUUUUCAAAGCAAGCUGAUAUGGUAAAGAAAGUAGUCAGCAUGAUGCCAGUUCACUUCCAAGUCAAUUACAAGGAAACUAUAAACAGUGACCAGCUCCUCACGGUAUGCAGCUCUGAUGUAUUUUACAUUCCUCGGCGCUUCAUUGCUGACUUUACCGAGCUUGUUAAUCUAGUGGACAAUCUGGAAAUCCAUCACAAGGUUGCAAUACCCAUGUUCUUUCUAUCAAUGGAUUCACCUCAGAAUUUUGACCCAGUUCUUAGUAGGAUGAUUUAUGAAGAAAACCCACCUUCUACCAAUUCCUCAACAUUUUAUUCUGACAAAGUACCAGCUGUUCACCCCUGGAAUGUGUCAAGUGAGCAAGAGUUCAUAAAGCUUAUUAGAAUCAUGGCAGCAGGUGACCUUCUUCUGCUGGAGUUAGUUUGAAGGCAAGGAGAGGUUUUUGAUUCAGGGGCAAACCCAAGAGAAAGGAAGAAAGAACAUGUACCACCUUGUUAGUUGUUACGCCAAGUUCUGUAAUUUUUUUCUUUUUUCCUGGGGGAGGUUUCCUAUUUUCUUUUCCCUUUUGUAGAUUACCUUGUAUGAUUCAUUUACUGGUUGGGGAUCUCCUCCAAAAAGAAUUGUUACCUUUUCCACUAGUUUGUGGGUAUAUGAAAAAAAAUGUUUUGUUGGCAGUCCAAUUUAUUCCUCAAAUGACUGGGAUUCAUACUGAGCAAGAAAUUGGAAGCUGGCUUUGACUCGGAUAUGUGUUUGUUCUCAAGAAGCAUGGGAAUAUAAGGGGAGAAAAAAAAGUAUGGAAUGUAAGGAUGUGUUUGAAACUGUUUUUAACAGGAAAAGGGAACAUGUUUAAUAAGCGUUUAACAUAAAAGAGAAUUUGUUCUGAAAAUAAAUUUAGAAUAAAUUUAAGAUGUUGUCUGUGGUAAGAAUUUUUAUAUUGUAUGUAAAUGUAUUAUCCCUUCAUGGAAAAAAGCCAAAAACCAAAAAACUAUUUUUAUAUUUAAGUUUUCAAAAUGAAUUUUAUUCUUAAAAAUAAUUAAGAAUUGUUUUCUAAAAUAUUUUUAUAUACACCGUUAGAGUAUGUUUAACAACGUUUUAAAAAUAUUGUUUGUUUGGAACAAAAUGUUCUUUGGAAAUUCAAAUAUGAAACUUAUUCUCAUGGAAGUAUUGUAUAUACACUUAUGUGCAAUGCAAGAGCAUAAAUUCUUGAAGCAUAUCAAGGAUCAAUUGUUGCUCAGCACAAUCUGAACAAGCUUCAAAUCUCAACCUAGAAAAUCUUAGAUAACUCAUGAAAAAGUGGUAAAAGAAAUAAUUUUUUAUAUAUUUGAUUUUAUUAUAAAAAUAAAAUAAAAUUAAAUAUAAUUAAAAUUAAUUAAAAACUUGUGAAUUUUUAAAUUAUUUAAUAUUUAUAUGAGGUAGUUAAAAUAAGUUAAAUGAAUUUAAAGUAAUAUAUAAAAAUGUUUUAAUAAUUUUUAUUUUUCUUUUUAAUUUUCUUUCCCUCAAAUUUUCUAACUUGCUUGCAUCAACAAGAAGCCAUGGAUCAAGCUUCCUCAGACCUAACUUGCUAGCAUUAAAAAGAAUUAAGAAGAGAUUCAAAGUACAUUGAUGAUUAUUUCUCUAUUGGUGUUGGGUUUCUAGUUGCUACCAGUUUCAGCUUCAGAAUUGUUCCAGCUUUCAUGGUAAUUAAAACAUACAACUAAAAUAAUGCUAAUCAUCAUGAUCACAGUGAUGACAAUGAGGCUUUUUGGGACCGAAUCUGGCAAGUAAACUUCACACAGAAGAGAGACAGGGCCCUGAAAACGAAUUAAAUCAAAGAGGUAAACUGGAAAACAAAUUCAUAUUCCAAAUAUUUGUGGAAGUUACAUCUAUCCAUCCUACAAAGCAACAAGAAAGAGCUCAAGUAAAUUGAUGUAGUUAUUUGCACUCGAUUUUCUCUAUAACAGUUGGUUCAUAAUUUACCGAUCAAUUCCUUCAAUCUUGUCCUCAACUUCUGAGUACAACUGCCUCAACUUUUCGAUAUUAUCUUCUGAUGUUUCCCAGUACCCCCUUCCAUUGGCCUCCAAGAAGGUCUGCACCAACUUCCUGAAAGAAUUCGGAUUGGUGUUCAUGAGUCUCUUUAGCAUCUCCUCGUCUUGAAUGAAAGUCGAGUUGGCUUCUUCAUAGACCCAAUUGUCAACUUGGCCUGAGGUUGCACUCCACCCAACUGUAUUUGUCAGCCUCUUUUCGAUUUCCCGGACGCCCUCAUACCCACUUGACAUCAUUCCUUCAUACCAUUUGGGGUUCAACAGCUUGGUCCGAGCAUCAAGCCGGACAGUCUCAGAAAGUGUCCUCACCUGCAGCGUAACAAAUUUGAGCUUACCCAGCUGAAGAGAAGGAAUGAUCAGCAUAAGAGAAUUAUACGAUAAUGCUGAUAAUUCUCACCUGGGCAUUAGCUGUGGUUGUGUCAGCAAUGUAUGCAUUAGGCUUCUUGCCGUCCUUCCUUAGGCCCUGCACUAGAUUAGUGGGAUCUGAGUCGAAGUAGUGACUCACAUCAGUGAGUGAGAUUUCUGAUGAGUCAAGGUUUUGGAAUGUGGCAUCAGCUGUGCUUAGAGCCAUCUCAAAGACCUUCCUCUUCUCAGUCAUGCCUGCACCAGGGGCGUCACAGUCAAAUGCGAAGGACUUCCGGCUCAAGUACAUGUCUUGCAGCUGCUUCUCAUCAUUCCAUGAGGAAUUCUCAACAGCAAGAUUUAUAUUGGAUGAGUAUGAGCCUGAUGCAUUAGAGAAGACACGGGUUGCAGCGUCUCGAACCUCAAUGCCAAGGGCUUGAGCUUGCUCUAGUGCAUGCUUCCUGACAUAGUUCUGGUCUGCUGGCUCGUCUAGCUCAGCAACCAUCUUCACUGCCCGGUCAAGGAGGUUCAUCUGAACAAAGAGAAAAUGUUGAGGCACAAAUGAUCACCAAAGAGAAUUUAACAUAGCUGAUCAAAGGUAACAGAGAGUAUGGAAAGGGUUUAUACCUGGUUGAUGAAGAGGUCUCUGAAGACUCCUGAGCAGUUAACAACAACAUCGAUUCUAGGCCUUCCAAGCUCUUCGAGACUAACCGGCUCCACCCGGUUGACACGGCCAAAGGUAUCAGCAACUGGCCUCACACCGAUCAUCCACAGGACUUGAGCCAGUGACUCCCCAUAAGUCUUAAUGUUAUCCGUUCCCCACAACACAAGGGCAACUGUCUCAGGGUACUUUCCACCAUUGUCAGCCUUCUGCCUCUCAAGCAACCUAUCUACCACAACCAUUGCGCUCUGCAAUGCUGCUGCAGUGGGUAUAGAUUGUGGAUCCAGGGCAUGAAUAUUCUUUCCUGUUGGCAACACUUUCGGGUUUCUAAUUGGAUCACCACCAGGACCAGGCUCCACAUAUUUUCC